UGUGUAAUCUAGUAAGCUUGUAACCAAGAAUCAAGCAAGUAGGCAACUAAGUGAGAGUGAGAGCAAGAGUAGUCUUGUAGGAGUGUGAGUGAUCUAGAGUGUGUCUCUAGAAAGUGAGUGAGUGUCAUUGCUUCUAAAGUUGUGUCCUUGUGAGUGUUGUAAUAUUUUGUGUGUGUAAUACAAGUAAUUUGUUUACUUGUGUUGUCCUUCCAACACUUGUGUUAGAGUUGUGUACUCUAAGUUUUUCCCCAACAACACAUUCAAAGUAUACAUAACAUAGUGUAUCAGAUACUCUAAAUGUACUGGUGGGCAGGGUGGGUUCGGUUUCAAUCGGUUCAAUUUUUUGUCAAAACCAAAAACCGAACCAAAGUUACUUUUCAGUUUGGUUCAUUCCAUCUUUUUUUUUUAUUUGUUCGGUUUGGUUUAAUUUUGGUUUGGUUUUUAUCGGUUCGAUUUCGAUUCAGUUUUGGUUUUUUAUUUUAUUGUAUAAAAACUUAAAAUUGUUUUUAAAAAAUGUAAAUAUUCACAAGCAGCGGGUGGGGGAGAGUUGAGAGUUCUAAAGUUCUCUGCCUAUAUAUGAAUAUAUGUGUAUAUAUAUGCUUGUAUGGUGCUUUAUUGAUUGGCAAAGGGGUAUGCAAUAGCACAAGGUGGAGCUCUAUGCUUUGCAAAUGCCUAUUGCCAUAAUUUUAGAAACUCUGGAAAACAAUGGGAUGGCUGG
rnacentral:lncRNA from 1 species